rnacentral:rRNA from 1 species
GAGUUUGGUCCUGGCUCAGAUUCAUCGCUGGGGGCGCGCUUGACACAUACUGGUUCGUCGGGCAAAGUGGCUCGCUCGCAUGAGUACAGCGUCGUGCCGGUGAGUAACACGUGGGUAAUCUACCUCUUAGUGGGGAAUAACCCUGGGAAACCGGGGCUAAUACCGCAUAAGCCUGAGAAGGGAAAGCAGCAAUGCGCUGAGAGAGGAGUCCGCGGCCGAUUAGCUAGUUGGCAGGGUAAAAGCCUACCAAGGCUGUGAUCGGUAGCCGGCCUGAGAGGGCACACGGCCACACUGGCACUGAAACACGGGCCAGACUCCUACGGGAGGCAGCAGUGGGGAAUCUUGCACAAUGGGGGAAACCCUGAUGCAGCGACGCCGCGUGAGCGAUGAAGCCCUUCGGGGUGUAAAGCUCUUUCGGCAGGGAAGAUUAUGACGGUACCUGCAGAAGCAGCUGCGGCUAACUACGUGCCAGCAGCCGCGGUAAUACGUAGGCAGCAAGCGUUGUUCGGAGUUACUGGGCGUAAAGGGUGUGUAGGCGGCCUAUUAAGUUCCGUGUGAAAUCUCCCGGCUCAACCGGGAGGGUGCGCGGAAUACUGACGGGCUAGAGUGCGGGAUGGGAGAGUAGAAUUCCUGGUGUAGCGGUGAAAUGCGCAGAUAUCAGGAGGAACACCAAUAGCGAAGGCAGCUCGCUGGGACGGUACUGACGCUAAGGCGCGAAAGCGUGGGGAGCGAACAGGAUUAGAUACCCUGGUAGUCCACGCUGUAAACGAUGGGCACUAGGUGUCCGGGGUAUUGACCCCCUGGGUGCCGCAGCUAACGCAUUAAGUGCCCCGCCUGGGGAGUACGGUCGCAAGAUUAAAACUCAAAGGAAUUGACGGGGGCCCGCACAAGCGGUGGAGCAUGUGGUUCAAUUCGACGCAACGCGAAGAACCUUACCUGGGCUAGACAACGGUGGACCGUCCUAGAAAUAGGAUUUUCCCUUCGGGGACCGCCGGUUCAGGUGCUGCAUGGCUGUCGUCAGCUCGUGCCGUGAGGUGUUGGGUUAAGUCCCGCAACGAGCGCAACCCUCGUCCUUAGUUGCCACCAUUCAGUUGGGCACUCUAGGGAGACUGCCGGCGUUAAGCCGGAGGAAGGUGGGGACGACGUCAAGUCAGUAUGGCCCUUACGGCCUGGGCUGCACACGUACUACAAUGCCCAGCACAGAACGAUCCGAGACCGCAAGGUGGAGGAAAUCACUAAAACUGGGCCCAGUUCAGAUUGGAGUCUGCAACUCGACUCCAUGAAGCCGGAAUCGCUAGUAAUGGCGUAUCAGCUACGACGCCGUGAAUACGUUCCCGGGCCUUGUACACAC